rnacentral:lncRNA from 1 species
GGCUUCUUUAUGGUAUAGAAAAUGAAAAAGAUGUUAAUAAUUAGUCCCUUUUGUUUUCUUCUUCUUCUUCUUCUUCUUUUUCGUUCCUCCAAUUAUUCGAUAUAUAUCUAUAUAUAUAUAUGCAGGUUGAGAACCAUGAAAUUGACACACAAUUGAUGGAGAAGGUGAAGCAGUUGAUCAACAAAUACUAUGAGGAAAACCUGAAGGAAAGCUUCUACCAAUCUGAGAUAGCAAAGAGGUUGGAGAAACAAGAGAAUGCUUCUGAUAUAGAUUGGGAAAGUGCCUUCUUCGUUUGGCAUCGACCCACUUCUAGCAUCAAUGAAAUUCCUAACAUCUCUCAGGAACUUUGGUAAUUAACACAUUCUUUAUAUAACACUCAUUAAUUAAAAUUCUUUCCACCAUCCCAGUCUCAUCAGAAAAAGUAUUACAUUCCACGUACUGUUUGUUAAACGCAGGCACACAAUGGAUGAGUAUGUUGAACAACUGGUGAAGGUGGGAGAGAAGCUAUCUGAGGUGAUGAGUGAAAAUCUUGGUCUGGAGAAGGAUUACAUGAAGAAAGCAUUUUCUGGAAGUGAAGGUGAUGGUCCUGCUGUGGGAACAAAAGUGGCAAAGUACCCUCAGUGUCCACGUCCAGAACUUGUGAGGGGGCUCAGAGAACACACAGAUGCUGGUGGCAUCAUUCUACUGCUCCAAGAUGACAGAGUGCCGGGUCUAGAAUUCUUCAAAGAUGGCAAAUGGGUGAAGAUUCCACCCUCCAAGAACAAUGCCAUUUUUGUCAACACGGGUGAUCAAGUGGAAGUGUUGAGCAAUGGCAUAUACAAAAGUGUGGUGCAUAGAGUCAUGCCUGACAAGAAUGGAAGCAGAAUUUCCAUUGCCACCUUUUACAACCCCAUUCCAGAAGCCAUCAUUUCACCUGCUCCUAAGCUCUUGUACCCAAGCAACUUCCUUUAUGGUGACUAUCUGAAGCUCUAUGGCAG